CCAUAUACGGCCUCUGCAUGCGCGCUAGCAGCGAGCGAGAAAGAGAGAGAGAGAGAGAGAGACAGAUAUACACGCCAUACCAUCGUGUUGCAGAGACUUGGAUAGUUCAGUCCCACGUCCAUACAUUCCUCCUAUCUAUAUGUAUGUGUGUGUGUGUGUGUAUAUAUUAUGAGGGGGCGCGGGCUCUACCCCGUCCUUUUUCUUCUUUAGAUAUGAAUCCUUCGCUGAUAAUCUUACAGGAUAUCCACGUUCCAAUAUACGUUUAAUAUCGUAUCGCACUCAUUCUCUCUCUCUCUUCGGAAACUUGCCGCGAGACAUUCGAGAGGAGAUUUACUCCCGAAUCUUUCCGGCGAGCCGUGUAUUAUUGCCACGGGUCUCCAAUUACAAUUUUUAAUCUUGGCUCAGGAUCUCGUAUGAGACGACACUCGUUGCACGAUGAUGUUGGAACUGCUCGUUCGCAGCUUGUCAAAAUCAGAUGCGAGAGCUUUGCGCAAUUUUUCGAGUAUGAAUAACGCGUAGAUUAACAAAACAGGAGAAUCGGUAAACGCGCCUUUCCCGAUGUAUACUAAUCGUAAUCUCCCGUCUCUCCCAAAGCCGCAGAAAGCCGCUCCUAGAAACGUCGCGUCGCCCGUUCGUGGAAGUAGAAAAGAGAACAAAAAAAAAAAAAAAAAAAAAAAAAAAAAUGAACCAUAUAGGAGAGAUAUCCCAAGUGCGUAGCCCGGCCUCUCCCAAUGAGAUCGGUGCAUUACAUCAACUUUGUCACAAUCUCGGAGCGGCGUGUCUUAGAAUGCAUAAUUAAUAUUCUCUAUCCGCUUUUCCGAUACGCGCCGACCGCUAUGCUCAAGGCGUGAACGUACAAGGGAAGAUCGGUAAUCGCAGACGACGAACACUAAUAGUCUCGAUAUCUCCAAAUCAGUGACAUUGCAAGGCCACGUAAUGUGAUUCUUUUCUCGGCGAACUUUUUUACAGCUAGAACGCCGAUGGAAGUGUCAUUAGAUAAUCGCCAUUGACAAUUAAUGCUAUCAACGGUGCGCCAGUUUGUCCUUACAAGUCGCUAUAAAGAGAACGCACACGAUUGCGAAGCGUUUAAAUGCCCGGAAAAGAGAGACAAGAUAGCAUGCCCCAGUCGCAAAGAUACAGAUUGAGUCUAUUACAAUCGACGACGUUUAUUACAUUUUACUUCGAGAACAAGAAUCGUAUAUAGUAAACAGGUGCAGGAAGGUGGCAAGCUAAUCUUAAUUAAUUCAAAUGCAAAAGCUAAUAAAUAAAAUCAUGUUCCAUCGUUUACAAAUCACCUUUCGUCGGAAGAAUUAUCGGCAAUGGAAUAGAAUAAGCCCCGCAUACAUCGAAUUCAAGGUGUGAUCGUCGAUGGAUCGAUCGCACGGAUAUGUCGAGGCCCCGAUUUUUUAGUGUUCUCCCACGGACUUUGCCUUCUAUGCCCUGUCAAGCGCCUACACGCAUGUACACGUUGAUAAACGCAAAAGUAACGUUGACGUCACGCGUCCAUACAUGGUCCUCAUCGUGAAAACCAUGUGGGUGUCGCGCGUUAUAAAUGAUUUCAUCUUGAACUUCUUUUCUCUCUAUGCUCAGCAUCCUUCUUCCAUUUUUAUCCCCGAUCGCACCUGUAAUCUGUAGAUAGGAAAAGGGACUACCGAGACCUAUAAUACGAUCGUUAUAAGUACUAUAUGAUAUAUAAAUGCACCAGAAUGCGAUCAAUGCACAAUCACAUUCUUCUCAUAGUAAAUAUGUUGACAUACUUACACAUAUUUACGAUUUCUUAUGUAUAAUUUCCUUUUAUUUUAUAUACGAUAACAAUAUCCUUUUUUAGUUUAUUUAUUUUUCUUUAACAUAUACACAGUUUCGGAAAUAAUUUCUUAAUUAGCUCUGUUUUAUUACUCCAUUUAUAAAAACGCAAGAUAGAAUCAGAAUUAGGAAAUACCUCGUAAUAUAUAUAUAUAUAUAUGAAAAUCCUGUGACAUAUUAUUUCGUGAUUCACGAUUAGUGUAUAUAUAAAUACGCGAAACAAAUAACGUUACACAUUAUAGUAUUAUAUAUAAAAAUAAUGUACAAUUGUACAAUUGUAUAAACAAUAAAUAUAAUUGUUUAUACUGUAAUUGUACAAUUGCAGAAACAAAUAUUGUAAUAUUAUUUGUAUUGUAAUUAACAGUAUAAACAGAGUAUUACAAUUGUUAUUGUAGGUAUAUAUAUAUAUAAACUCAUAAGCAAAAAAAAAAAAAAAAAA